rnacentral:rRNA from 1 species
UACGGAGGGGACUAGCGUUGUUCGGAAUUACUGGGCGUAAAGCGCACGUAGGCGGAUUUGUAAGUCAGGGGUGAAAUCCCGGGGCUCAACCCCGGAACUGCCUUUGAUACUGGGUAUCUCGAGUCCGAGAGAGGUGAGUGGAAUUCCGAGUGUAGAGGUGAAAUUCGUAGAUAUUCGGAGGAACACCAGUGGCGAAGGCGGGUCUCUGGGCCGAGUACUGACGCUGAGGAGCGAAGGCGGUGGGGA